UAUACAAUCUAAAUACACCUUCUUUCAGUUUAAAUCCAUUCCUCUUUGUCUUACCCCUCCGUGCUCUUGUCAGAAGUCCCUCCCCAGAUCUCCCGUAGCCUCUUCCAAACGAAAUAAUUCUGUGAUCUAUGAAAUUAUAUCCAGUUACACUAAAUUCUGCAGGAUGGUGUCACUCCUUGUCUUUUUAUCUACUGAUUUCUUUGUGAACAUUUAUCUUAUUUCAGGAAGAGGCAAAGGAGAGCCCAAGAUGUUAAAUCCAAGCCCUGCCAGAAGAAGGCAACCUUAGACUUUGAGACCCUGACUCGAGUAAAGAUGGCAAGACUGGGAUUUUGUCUCUCUCGUAAGACCUUGAAUACAAAGGACUCGUGACAAACGGGAAGGGAACGUGCCCACACCCACGGUGCUGCGGGAGCCCCUCUUUCCAAGGGGGCUCAAGGAAAAGGCAACAGCUGCUCUCCACUUCUCAUGGUCCACAACAGCAAUUAGUGAGGGAGAGUCUGGCCAAUGAUUCAUGUCUGAGGACAUAAGGAAGUCUUGGGGACUGGCAAGGGGGGAAGCCUGUGCAGUGACUCAUGCCUGAGGGUAUAUGUGUCUGGACUAAGUCUUGGCAACCUCCCCAGGAUGAGAUUUUCCUGACAUUUUCCCUCAGGUAAACACAUGGUCCUUGAAGGAUUGUCUCUGCUCAUUGCAGGGGCGUUGGAGUAGAUGACCUUUAAAAGGUCCCCUCCAACUCAAACUAUGAUUCUUUGGCUCCCUGGCCCUGUUUAACAUCUCUGUUGGAGUCUUCAAAGUGGUGGCCUCUUGCACACAAAAAGGAAACACAAGUUAAUCAAGACCCAAGACUCAUCACAAACACUAAGGGAAUGUGAGCAGUGGCUGUAGGUAAGUAUUUUACAGCCUGGUAUAAUAUAUAUCUAUUAUCUGUAGCAUCCAAUAGCAUAGCCAGCAAUUAGCAUAUUAUGAAGUAGUUGAGGAAAAAACAUACAUGGAGUAAGUAGCACAAGGAGGAAGACAACUGCAGGUGUGAAAUACAGGGGUCAAGUGGAAAUAAAGUGUGAAGGAGAGAAAAAAAACCACAUGUAUAGUAGGCAGAGAAGACAACUGGUGAAGCCAAAGUAACCCCACAGGGUAAGAGGGAAUAUGCUGGGAAAACCCCACAAAACAAAACAACUCAGUGAAGAGGAGGUGAGUUGUCCCCUGUCCUUUCACAGGCAGAAGGAAAAGAAGAGAAUACCAAUAAAUACUAAGGAAGAAGAAAUCCUACUUCAGCUCUGGCUUUCAACACCAAAAAAAGUGAAGAAGCUCUUCCCCCCCACCUCCAAAGGUGCCCAAACCCCAACCCCACACCACAUUCACUGCCCCCCUCGUACCAGCACUCCCCUGUUUGAGACUCGUGGCUAAUUUAGGCCAAAUUUAUUAAAGACUCAUCAUUUACCUGUGUAUGGAUGAUGAUUAAAGCCUAACCCUGGGGGGUGAUGUGUGCUGUUGAUGACUGUCAGUCCAGUAAAGCCUG